GAAAAAUGUGAUUUGGAGGCCAAAAAUGAGGUGCGCGGAGGCGGCAAUAGGGGAUGGCGAUCCCUGCAGCCUGAAACAGCUGAUCGUUGGGAGGCCGAUCCGACCGACAAUCAGCUGCUUGUGCUAAUCAGGCUGUGCUGAAACUGACCAGGCUGUUUGCUGCCAG